GUUAUUAUCUUGAAUAUUAUUAUAGAUAGAGAUAAACUGUAAACAGCAAUAAUGUUCAGCAAAGUUAGAUUUACAAAUAAGUCAACAUGACCGAAAUGGUCAGUUGACUUUUUUAGGAGUUAUUGCCCUUUAUAGUCAAUUUUUAACCAUUUUUCGUAAAUCUUAGUAAUCUUUUACAAAAAUCUUCUUCUCUGAAACUACUAGGCCAAAUUAAUCCAAACUUCGCCACAAUCAUCUUUGGAGUAUCUUGUUUAAAAGAUGUGUCCGGUGACCCAGCCAUCCAACCAAGAUGGCCGCCACGGCUAAAAAUAGAACAUAGGGGUAAAAUGCAGUUUUUGGCUUAUAACUCAAAAACCAAAGCAUUUAGAGCAAAUCUGUCAGGGUAAAAUUGUUCAUCAGGUCAAGAUCUAUAUACCCUGUAAUUUUCAGAUGAAUCGGACAACCUGUUGUUGGGUUGCUGCCCCUAAAUUGGUAAUUUUAAGGAAAUUUUACUGUUUUUGGUUAUUAUCUUGAAUAUUAUUAUAGAUAGAGAUAAACUGUAAACAGC
rnacentral:lncRNA from 1 species